rnacentral:rRNA from 1 species
UCCGAGUUGUAAUUUGGAGGGGCAUCUUUGGAGUCGGCGCCGUCCUAAGUUCCUUGGAACAGGACGUCACAGAGGGUGAGAAUCCCGUGCCUGGGCGGCUGCCCGAUUCCAUGUGAAGUGCUUCCGACGAGUCGAGUUGUUUGGGAAUGCAGCUCAAAAUGGGUGGUAAAUUUCAUCUAAAGCUAAAUAUUGGCGAGAGACCGAUAGCGCACAAGUAGAGUGAUCGAAAGAUGAAAAGCACUUUGAAAAGAGAGUUAAAAAGUACGUGAAAUUGUUGAAAGGGAAGCGCUUGCGACCAGACUCGGUCUUUGGGGGUCAUCCGGGCUUCGGCUUGGUGCCAUCCCCAUUGAUCGGGCCAGCAUCGGUUCUGGCGGCGGGAUAAAAGGCGAGGGAAUGUGGCUUCCUUCGGGGAGUGUUAUAGCCCUCGUCACAAUGCCGCCAGCUGGGACCGAGGACCGCGCUUCGGCUAGGAUGCUGGCGUAAUGGUCUUAAGCGACCCGUCUUGAAACACGGACCAAGGAGUCUAACAUCUAUGCGAGUGUUCGGGUGGAAAACCCUUGCGCGUAAUGAAAAGUGAACGGAGGUGGGAACCCUUCGGGGUGCACCAUCGACCGGUCCUGAUGUCUUCGGAAGGAUCUGAGUAAGAGCAUAGCUGUUGGGACCCGAAAGAUGGUGAACUAUGCCUGAAUAGGGUGAAGCCAGAGGAAACUCUGGUGGAGGCUCGCAGCGGUUCUGACGUGC